AUUUAUGCUAGCUCAACAAGCUGCUCAAGUGUAUUAUACUUCUUUUCUAUCAAGGGAGAGAGGAAGAAAAGAUUGGUGGGCUAUAUGCUAAGUUAAGUCUUGAGCCGUUCAUUACACGCUCGAAAAAGAAGAAGAGCCCCAACUAUCAGAAUGCGUUUAGGAGGAUGAAACAUUAGGGUUUCAUCGAUCUUCAAUAGAUGUCGAGUUAGAUGCUCUAGGAAUUUUUGUACAUGAUGGCCAACAUGAGGAGGUAGACCCAACUAAUUUUGUUUUAAAAGACUAUCCUAUCCAAGAAGGAAAAGAAGAGGAAGAAGAAGAAGAGGUGGA
rnacentral:lncRNA from 1 species